GACGAACGCUGGCGGCGUGCUUAACACAUGCAAGUCGAACGGAAAGGCCCCAGCUUGCUGGGGUACUCGAGUGGCGAACGGGUGAGUAACACGUGGGUGAUCUGCCCUGCACUCUGGGAUAAGCCUGGGAAACUGGGUCUAAUACCGGAUAGGACUGUGCUUUAGUGUGUGCGGUGGAAAGUUUUUCGGUGCAGGAUGAGCCCGCGGCCUAUCAGCUUGUUGGUGGGGUAAUGGCCUACCAAGGCGGCGACGGGUAGCCGGCCUGAGAGGGUGUACGGCCACAUUGGGACUGAGACACGGCCCAGACUCCUACGGAAGGCAGCAGUGGGGAAUAUUGCACAAUGGGCGCAAGCCUGAUGCAGCGACGCCGCGUGGGGGAUGACGGCCUUCGGGUUGUAAACCCCUUUCGGCAGGGACGAAGCUUUUGUGACGGUACCUGCAUAAGAAGCACCGGCUAACUACGUG
rnacentral:rRNA from 1 species